rnacentral:lncRNA from 1 species
CCUUAUUACAUGUUAUUUCCUUCACCACUUAGAAGUGAUGUGAGGCUAGAAACUCCUGGCAUCACAUUUAUUGAACUGGCAUGCACUUUCAGGAUGAGUGACUGAUCAUCUCCCUCUGGUGUUUGCUGGACAGGUUUGUAGUGGAUGGAACAUUAGGACUGAAGAAGAUCAUUAGGAGAAAUUGAGAAACCACGUAAGCUUUUUGUCUGAAAUAACCACUUCCUCCCUGAAAUCCUAUUCUUCGACUACAAUUUUUUGGGAAAGCAUUAACAUUGUACAUAUCUCUGUCCUUCAUUGGACUGAGAGUUCCUGAACUCAAUUGUUUAUUUAUCUUUGUAUUUCUAGGGACUGGCACAGUGCCUGGUACAAAAUUCAUUCUCAAAUAAUAAUAUUUAUUAUAAUAAAUGCAAGACAACAUUUUAUAAAGAUAUCAAUAUUUAAUAUGGUUUCUAAAAUAAUGCAUUUUAAUUUUGCUUACUGAAGAAGAGAAUUCUCUUUAAGAACAUUAAAUCUAUGUCUUCUUAAAUUGAAUGGUAGGUUAUUAAAUUCAUGGCUUCCUGAUUCACCCUUGAUUCAUACUGAGGCCCAAGGCAGGCCAUAACUCUUACCCUAACAACCCAGAGCCCAGUUUAGACAAAGCUGGAAUUCUUAACAGGACAUUUGUGUAGUAACAAGAACAAUGAAUGUUAUUUAAAUGAAUAAAUUGAAAUUUUCUUAAUCUUAUAAUUAUGCCCUGCUGUAUCUAGAAAUAUAAGGAGAAACGGUUCAUUAAUAUAAAAAUUAUUAUUGGAUAAUCAUGAGUAUUUAUGGAGACUGGACUAUAAUUUUACUUUUUUUAAAGAUUUUAUUUUCUUUCCUUUUUCUCCCCAAAGCCCCCCAGUACAUAAUUGUAUAUUCUUCGUUGUGGGUCCUUCUAGUUGUGGCAUUAGGGGCUGGCCUCGUGGCCGAGUGGUUAAGUUCGCGCGCUCCACUGCAGGCGGCCCAGUGUUUCGUUGGUUCGAAUCCUGGGCGCGGACAUGGCACUGCUCAUCAGACCACGCUGAGGCAGCGUCCCACAUGCCACAACUAGAAGGACCCACAACGAAGAAUAUACAACUAUGUACUGGGGGGCUUUGGGGAGAAAAAGGAAAAAAAUAAAAUCUUUAAAAAAAAAUUUUAUUAAGUAAAAUUAUAAAACAAGCAGUACUUAAGUAUUAAUAGCAUCUUAAUUAUGAGUUAAUUACAGAAAAAAUUAACUGAAUAAUAAGCAUUUUAAAAUCUUUUGUCUACGUUAAUCAUUCAGAUUUAAACUCCAAAAAAUAUUG